GUCCAGGACCAAAGCCCUGGAAAUUUCUGCAGCUGUGCACUGUGGGCUGGGAGGAAAGGACUGACCUUGCUCGUCUGGGUGGGUCUCAGGCGGUGUGGGAGCUUCACUAUUUUCUGCAGCCUCUCCAUCAGUUGCUGAAAUGAGCCAGUAAAACACAGGGGAUCUUGCAUUACAGUUGAUGGCUUGGCUUAGCUCGGCCUGUUGGCCAAAGCCAGAUGCACUCCACAAUCCUGGGAGCUGGCACCUUCCUGUGUGCAUUUUUGAGCACAUGCAUCUUUACAUGGUCAACAGAGAAUUACUUUUUGAUCCAAUUUGCAGAACUUCAGGGGGCAGUGAGGGUCCUGGCGCCUUGGUGCAGGGUUGGCUGCAUGCAUCUGUGUGGCUGUCUUCCUGCCUGGAAGCCCGGCAGGGAAAAUGCUGGCUUCUUACUCAGUUAGCAACAGCCUCUGGAACUGUGGAGUAGAGGGGCUGAAGUACCAUUACUCUCCCAUGAGACUUUUCACACAUCCAGCUCCCGUGGAAGAGCAUAUCGCAGUCUUGGGCCAAGGAGGAGAGAUUGCAGAGCGGUAACACCCCAAAGAGAGGGCAGGUGAGGCGACUGUCGAUUGCCCUGCCUCGCAGACAGCUGGCACAGAAGUUAUGGUAGCAAUCCAGAAGGCAGGGGUGCUCGUACUGCUCAUGGCAUAAGAAGCAAACCAGUGGGUGGCAGUU